CGGGGGGAGCAAGCGUUGUUCGGAUUUACUGGGCGUAAAGGGCGCGUAGGCGGCCUCUGCAAGUCGACUGUGAAAUCUCCGGGCUUAACCCGGAACGGUCAGCCGAUACUGCAGGGCUAGAGUGCAGAAGGGGCAACUGGAAUUCUCGGUGUAGCGGUGAAAUGCGUAGAUAUCGAGAGGAACACCUGCGGCGAAGGCGGGUUGCUGGGCUGACACUGACGCUGAGGCGCGAAAGCUAGGGGAGCGAACGGGAUUAGAUACCCCGGUAGUCCUAGCCUUAAACGAUGAAUGCUUGGUGUCUGGGGUUUAUAGUCCCCGGGUGCCGUCGCUAACGCUUUAAGCAUUCCGCCUGGGGAGUACGGUCGCAAGACUG
rnacentral:rRNA from 1 species